GGCUCAGGAUGAACGCUGGCGGCGUGCCUAAUACAUGCAAGUCGAGCGAACAGACAAGGAGCUUGCUCCUUUGACGUUAGCGGCGGACGGGUGAGUAACACGUGGGUAACCUACCUAUAAGACUGGGAUAACUUCGGGAAACCGGAGCUAAUACCGGAUAAUAUUUCGAACCGCAUGGUUCGAUAGUGAAAGAUGGUUUUGCUAUCACUUAUAGAUGGACCCGCGCCGUAUUAGCUAGUUGGUAAGGUAACGGCUUACCAAGGCGACGAUACGUAGCCGACCUGAGAGGGUGAUCGGCCACACUGGAACUGAGACACGGUCCAGACUCCUACGGGAGGCAGCAGUAGGGAAUCUUCCGCAAUGGGCGAAAGCCUGACGGAGCAACGCCGCGUGAGUGAUGAAGGUCUUCGGAUCGUAAAACUCUGUUAUUAGGGAAGAACAUACGUGUAAGUAACUAUGCACGUCUUGACGGUACCUAAUCAGAAAGCCACGGCUAACUACGUGCCAGCAGCCGCGGUAAUACGUAGGUGGCAAGCGUUAUCCGGAAUUAUUGGGCGUAAAGCGCGCGUAGGCGGUUUUUUAAGUCUGAUGUGAAAGCCCACGGCUCAACCGUGGAGGGUCAUUGGAAACUGGAAAACUUGAGUGCAGAAGAGGAAAGUGGAAUUCCAUGUGUAGCGGUGAAAUGCGCAGAGAUAUGGAGGAACACCAGUGGCGAAGGCGACUUUCUGGUCUGUAACUGACGCUGAUGUGCGAAAGCGUGGGGAUCAAACAGGAUUAGAUACCCUGGUAGUCCACGCCGUAAACGAUGAGUGCUAAGUGUUAGGGGGUUUCCGCCCCUUAGUGCUGCAGCUAACGCAUUAAGCACUCCGCCUGGGGAGUACGACCGCAAGGUUGAAACUCAAAGGAAUUGACGGGGACCCGCACAAGCGGUGGAGCAUGUGGUUUAAUUCGAAGCAACGCGAAGAACCUUACCAAAUCUUGACAUCCUUUGACAACUCUAGAGAUAGAGCCUUCCCCUUCGGGGGACAAAGUGACAGGUGGUGCAUGGUUGUCGUCAGCUCGUGUCGUGAGAUGUUGGGUUAAGUCCCGCAACGAGCGCAACCCUUAAGCUUAGUUGCCAUCAUUAAGUUGGGCACUCUAAGUUGACUGCCGGUGACAAACCGGAGGAAGGUGGGGAUGACGUCAAAUCAUCAUGCCCCUUAUGAUUUGGGCUACACACGUGCUACAAUGGACAAUACAAAGGGCAGCGAAACCGCGAGGUCAAGCAAAUCCCAUAAAGUUGUUCUCAGUUCGGAUUGUAGUCUGCAACUCGACUACAUGAAGCUGGAAUCGCUAGUAAUCGUAGAUCAGCAUGCUACGGUGAAUACGUUCCCGGGUCUUGUACACACCGCCCGUCACACCACGAGAGUUUGUAACACCCGAAGCCGGUGGAGUAACCAUUUGGAGCUAGCCGUCGAAGGUGGGACAAAUGAUUGGGGUGAAGUCUA
rnacentral:rRNA from 1 species